rnacentral:rRNA from 1 species
AUUGAACGCUGGCGGCAUGCCUUACACAUGCAAGUCGAACGGCAGCACGGGAGCAAUCCUGGUGGCGAGUGGCGAACGGGUGAGUAAUAUAUCGGAACGUGCCCAGUCGUGGGGAUAACGUAGCGAAAGCUACGCUAAUACCGCAUACGAUCUAUGGAUGAAAGCGGGGGAUCGCAAGACCUCGCGCGAUUGGAGCGGCCGAUAUCAGAUUAGGUAGUUGGUGAGGUAAAGGCUCACCAAGCCGACGAUCUGUAGCUGGUCUGAGAGGACGACCAGCCACACUGGGACUGAGACACGGCCCAGACUCCUACGGGAGGCAGCAGUGGGGAAUUUUUGGACAAUGGGCGCAAGCCUGAUCCAGCAAUGCCGCGUGCAGGAUGAAGGCCUGG